rnacentral:tRNA from 1 species
GGAAAUGUGGCUCAGCGAUAGAGCACUUGCCUUGCAAGCAUGAGGCCCUGGGUUCGAUUCCCAGCACUGCAU